CUGCUCCCAUUGGCUGCUGACCGGCCUCUCGAUGGUUCUUGCCCUCCCCCCCAGCUCGCACCCUGCGUCUCUGAUCUGGGCCGCGUCCCGCUCCAGCGCGUCCAGCAGCAGUCAAGGUUCUAGGUGCAGUUGCAGCUUUUCUUCCUAUGCUGAGCAUAAAUGAACUGGCCAUUUAAAAAAAUAAAAAAUGUGGAAAAAACCUAAAGCCCAUUUGGAUUUAAUCCUAACUCAGGAUGAUGAUGACCUUACUGGCAUAUGGCACUCUGUCCCAAAGUAGAGACCUCUUCAGAAGCAAAGCGUGGAUGGACAUCUCCAGGCCAAAUUGUAACACAUUUCUGCUUCUACAGUGAAAAGAAUUGGGAUCGAUCAUGAUCAAGGUCCUGAUUGAAAGUCCUGUGAAGUCAUUGGGGGUCCCUUCAUGGAUUUAAUUGGGCUUUGGGUCAGGCCCUGACUGAGAAAAAAUAUGGUGAAAUUCAAGCAGAGAAGGAAUCUGAUUUGCCAUGGCCUUCUAUCUAGUCAGAGGUAGAGCAGGGAUUAGAACUCUUUAACAGAUUCUGAGCUUAAUGAUUCACUCCAUCCCGUCAAACCUUCUGUGGAUUUUUCUCACUGAAUGUCUUGGGCAGGGCUAAAUUUUGACAUUUUUGUUUUUCUCUGACUUACGGAGGUUCAAAAUAAAUCAAUUUAGGACCGUGUCCUAUGACUGGUAAGAAGUCACAGAAAGAGUCUCCUUCCUCUAACACUGAACAAGUAACUUCAUUAGAAGAAGGAAAAUGGCAUUAUUCCUAAUUUUUUUUCUCACUGCUUUGCUGUAGAGCUUCUGCCUCAAACCUUCUCAAGCCCCCUCCUGGCUAGCAUCUGUUUAUAGUUGUAAACAAACAGGACACAUAUGCUCACACACAGCACAGAAUGAAGAGGAACAGGGCAAGUCUUGUACAGCUCUAUCCUGCUGGGAAUGACAACGGCACCAUGAUUCCUCUCUCAUCACACCAUUUUUUCUUCUUGGCUUCCAGUAUCUUUUGCAACCGCAGGGGAGAGAUUUGGUAGGGCUGAAAGAAGGCCCUACUACCAUUCCUACGAUGAAGAGGAGGAGGGGAUUUUUGCCAGGGGAAGCCUCUUCCAUUUCUGAUGACCUUCCUAGAUCCUUCAGGGUUCCAUCCUUCGCUGAUUAGCCCUUGCUUUGUGGAUACCAGCUUUCUGGCCAAGGAAGACUGGAUGAGGGGGCUUGAAAAUGCAGGGAGGGCCGCCUCUCAAACCAGGUGUUUGCACAAAACCAGAUGCAAGAAACGAUCCCUGGUACAUCUCAGGAAAAGACAAAUGAUGGACCAUUACAGGUCUUUCCCUGUCCUCUCCACUUCUCCAGUGCUGCCUGGCUUCGCAAACCAACAUUUCUGUGCCUUCUUCUAUGUUGUCCUUUACACAUGCAAGGAACCAUAACGAGGAAGGGAUCAUACCUUCUUUUCUAUCUGGGAAAUGCUAAAUCACUGUGGAUGCUGCUAGAAAUAAGCUGGAUACUGCUGACAAUGUUUGCUCCUGCCCCAGGCCAGAGGCAACCAACCAAUGCACCCUUUCUUGGACUACCAGGCAGGUCAAAUUACCCAAUUAUCCUUGCGGUAUUUCAGUUCAAUAUCAGCCAGUCUGUAGCUAGUACACAUAAUUGCUUUAGAUCUUGUUUUGACAAACAGCGUGUUUAAACACAGGUUAAGCUGUCAUUUUCUGUAGCCAUUUAAAAAAAAAAUAUCAGCAGUUAAUGAAACAAGCUGUCAUCAGGCAGCCAUACUACCAAAGUGACAUGAAAACUGAAUGCAUGCACUGUUUGUUUGUAGACUUUCACAUACGUUUGGACCUAGUGAUAAUUUGUUUUUCUU